GAUGAACGCUGGCGGCGUGCCUAAUACAUGCAAGUCGAGCGAACGGACGAGAAGCUUGCUUCUCUGAUGUUAGCGGCGGACGGGUGAGUAACACGUGGAUAACCUACCUAUAAGACUGGGAUAACUUCGGGAAACCGGAGCUAAUACCGGAUGAUAUUUUGAGCCGCAUGGUUCAAAAGUGAAAGACGGUCUUGCUGUCACUUAUAGAUGGAUCCGCGCUGCAUUAGCUAGUUGGUAAGGUAACGGCUUACCAAGGCAACGAUGCAUAGCCGACCUGAGAGGGUGAUCGGCCACACUGGAACUGAGACACGGUCCAGACUCCUACGGGAGGCAGCAGUAGGGAAUCUUCCGCAAAGGGCGAAAGCCUGACGGAGCAACGCCGCGUGAGUGAUGAAGGUCUUCGGAUCGUAAAACUCUGUUAUUAGGGAAGAACAUAUGUGUAAGUAACUGUGCACAUCUUGACGGUACCUAAUCAGAAAGCCACGGCUAACUACGUG
rnacentral:rRNA from 1 species